ensembl:lncRNA
CUCCACUCAUAGAACGUGCAGAGGCCUCUGGUUUAGCUGUGCCUGCGCAGGACGAGAAUCACGGUCUCCUCCCCAUCACUUUACCCCCGAGCUCCUGCCGCCUUGCACCCUGCUGCUUUAUUCCUUGUCUCAGAACUACCCCAGUCCUUUGCCUUCAGGAGGGCUCCUCUUGGUUGCUUUAUUGUCUUGGGAUACCUUACACCCACCUCUGACACACAGGGAGGUUGGAAACUGUGAUAUGAAGCUGAGGAUUCUGAGCACAGGAGCCCCCUCUAUGCCACUUGAUUUUCCUAGUGGGACUCCAAGAAGUCGGCUGCUUCUCACUCACGUUCAAGACAGCAGAAGCCACAACAGGUGUUACGUGGAAGGCAUGGAGAACUAGAUAAUCA